GAUGAACGCUGGCGGCGUGCCUAAUACAUGCAAGUCGAGCGAACGGACGAGAAGCUUGCUUCUCUGAUGUUAGCGGCGGACGGGUGAGUAACACGUGGAUAACCUACCUAUAAGACUGGGAUAACUUCGGGAAACCGGAGCUAAUACCGGAUAAUAUUUUGAACCGCAUGGUUCAAAAGUGAAAGACGGUCUUGCUGUCACUUAUAGAUGGAUCCGCGCUGCAUUAGCUAGUUGGUAAGGUAACGGCUUACCAAGGCAACGAUGCAUAGCCGACCUGAGAGGGUGAUCGGCCACACUGGAACUGAGACACGGUCCAGACUCCUACGGGAGGCAGCAGUAGGGAAUCUUCCGCAAUGGGCGAAAGCCUGACGGAGCAACGCCGCGUGAGUGAUGAAGGUCUUCGGAUCGUAAAACUCUGUUAUUAGGGAAGAACAUAUGUGUAAGUAACUGUGCACAUCUUGACGGUACCUAAUCAGAAAGCCACGGCUAACUACGUGCCAGCAGCCGCGGUAAUACGUAGGUGGUAAGCGUUAUCCGAAAUAUUGGGCGUAAAGCGCGCGUAGCGGUUUUUUAGUCUGAUGUGAAAGCCCACGGCUCAACCGUGGAGGGUCAUUGGAAACUGGAAAACUUGAGUGCAGAAGAGGAAAGUGGAAUUCCAUGUGUAGCGGUGAAAUGCGCAGAGAUAUGGAGGAACACCAGUGGCGAAGGCGACUUUCUGGUCUGUAACUGACGCUGAUGUGCGAAAGCGUGGGGAUCAAACAGGAUUAGAUACCCUGGUAGUCCACGCCGUAAACGAUGAGUGCUAAGUGUUAGGGGGUUUCCGCCCCUUAGUGCUGCAGCUAACGCAUUAAGCACUCCGCCUGGGGAGUACGACCGCAAGGUUGAAACUCAAAGGAAUUGACGGGGACCCGCACAAGCGGUGGAGCAUGUGGUUUAAUUCGAAGCAACGCGAAGAACCUUACCAAAUCUUGACAUCCUUUGACAACUCUAGAGAUAGAGCCUUCCCCUUCGGGGGACAAAGUGACAGGUGGUGCAUGGUUGUCGUCAGCUCGUGUCGUGAGAUGUUGGGUUAAGUCCCGCAACGAGCGCAACCCUUAAGCUUAGUUGCCAUCAUUAAGUUGGGCACUCUAAGUUGACUGCCGGUGACAAACCGGAGGAAGGUGGGGAUGACGUCAAAUCAUCAUGCCCCUUAUGAUUUGGGCUACACACGUGCUACAAUGGACAAUACAAAGGGCAGCGAAACCGCGAGGUCAAGCAAAUCCCAUAAAGUUGUUCUCAGUUCGGAUUGUAGUCUGCAACUCGACUACAUGAAGCUGGAAUCGCUAGUAAUCGUAGAUCAGCAUGCUACGGUGAAUACGUUCCCGGGUCU
rnacentral:rRNA from 1 species